rnacentral:lncRNA from 1 species
UUAAGGGCAAGAAAAACUAUUUGUGAAAAAUCAUUAAACAGCACAUAAAAUCCUUUGAGGAAGACUGAAUACUAGGAGAAGUACAGCCUGGCUUUUGUUAAGGUACUUUGGGCCCAAUGAGUUAACUUUUUCAAGGAAUUUUAACAAGAUAGUGGUCAAAGUGGAAUUUGUUCGUGUAGUUUAUUUAAGGUUUUACAAGGCCCUGCAAAGAGUCCCUCCCCUAAGUCUGGAGGAGAAGAGAGUUUGUAAAAACGUGGUGAGAGCUAAAAUCUUAGGGGG